GCCAGAUGCUUGUGCGGCUAAGAGAUAACCUCUUCUCUUUCAGAUCCAGAUUCAAAGAAAAGGAUUGCAAAAUAGAUAUGUGAUUUGAUCACAAUCUGAAUUUCAGCAUAUGAAAUAGAUCCAUAUGGUUUUAUAUUUUCAUGCAUGCACAAUUCAGAUUAAAAGUAUUUUAAUUUUAUUCUCCACUGUGGUGUUUAGAAAAUAAAAUUUUUAAAACACAUAUGCAUGCACCAAACUCCGAAUUCCAAUAGAAAUCGAUUGUCACUGACAUCGAAAAGCCAG
rnacentral:lncRNA from 1 species